GUGCUCGCUUCGGCAGCACGUCUACUAACAUUGGAACGAUACAGAGAAGAUCAGCAUGGCCCCUGCGCAAGGAUGACAUGCAAAUUCGUGAAGUGUUCCAUAAUUUA
rnacentral:snRNA from 1 species